rnacentral:rRNA from 1 species
AGUGAACGCUGGCGGCGUGCCUAACACAUGCAAGUCGAGCGCGAAAGGGUAGCAAUACCUGAGUAAAGCGGCGAACGGGUGAGUAACACGUGGUUAACCUACCGAGAUGUGGGGGAUACCCCGGAGAAAUUCGGGACAAUACCGCAUACAGUCUUCUGGACGUCGGUUCGGAAGAGCAAAGCCGGGGAUCGUAAGACCUGGCGCAUUUCGAGGGGGACCGCGGCCGAUUAGCUAGUUGGCGGGGUAAUGGCCCACCAAGGCUUCGAUCGGUAGCCGGCCUGAGAGGGUGAACGGCCACACCGGAACUGAGACACGGUCCGGGACUCCUACGGGAGGCAGCAGUGGGGAAUUUUGCGCAAUGGGCGAAAGCCUGACGCAGCAACGCCGCGUGGAGGAUGAAGGUUCUCUGAAUCGUAAACUCCUGUCGGCCGGGAAGAAUGGGCAGGGUGCUAA